UCCUGGUUCCACUGAAAUAAUGGUAGUUUUGUCGUUGACUUCAGUAGAAUCAGGAUU
rnacentral:pre_miRNA from 1 species